CUAGUCUGCCCUUGAUUUGCUCACACAGAGGCUAUAGAAUCAUUUUGUAUCUAUGAAAGAUGUUACUGGGCUUUCAGUUGCAAUUACAGUGACUGGAUCAAACAGGAAGAGGUGGUGUCUUGACGAUACUGAACCCAGGUACUGUAAGAGCAGCGUGGCGCUCAUGUGCUUUGCGCUCCCUGCACUGGUGCCCUGGCACUUCUGGGGAGAGACUCUGUGGAAAUCCUACUCCUUGGCUUCCAUCUGCAAUGCACCAUUGCCCUCAAUUGUACCUGGCUGGUCAACAGCGCUGCCCACAUGUGUGGAAAGCAGCCUAUGACAAGCAUACCAGCCCUCGGCAGAACCCACUGGUUGCUCUGGGGGCCAUUGCCCUGACUACUCGAGACUUGGCUAUCCAGUCAUUUGUCAGAAAAAAAAAAAAGUCUUCAAGCAGGCGAUGGCAAGAGAGGAGGUUCACGGGACCACAAGUAGCGAAGAAGAGUCAGGCAGUGAAGAGUCCAAGAUCGAGGCCCACAAAGCCAAGACAGAAGAUGGCAGUGCCUGAAGCCUGCCGAAUGCUGUCCACAGUGGCUACCAUGACAACCAGCUAGCAGCUUUUGUCUCUACAGUGCUCUUGUUCAUUGGCUUGUAGGAGGGGGUAGAAGGUGGGGAGGGGAUGAAAUAUAUAUAUGGUCUGGGAAAUUGUAUUUGUCUCAAAUAAUGCCAACUAUAACUGUCAAUGAAAAAAAUAAGUCAACAUUAAAACUAUGGUCCAGUA